rnacentral:rRNA from 1 species
AUUCCAGCUCCAAUAGCGUAUAUUAAAGUUGUUGUGGUUAAAAAGCUCGUAGUUGGAUCUCGGCGGUCUGAGGGCGGUUCGCUUCAGAGCGCUACUGCCCUAUAGACCGUAGUUUUGCCAGAGGUCUCAGGGUGCUCUUAACCGAGUGUCUUGCGAUGCUGGCAGGUUUACUUUGAAAAAAUUAGAGUGCUCAAAGCAGGCUUUUACGCCUGAAUAUUCGUGCAUGGAAUAAUAGAAUAGGAAGUCGUUUCUAUUUUGUUGGUUUUCGGAAAUCGACUUAAUGAUUAAUAGGGACAGUCAGGGGCACUCGUACUCCGCCGAGAGAGGUGAAAUUCUCAGACCAGCGGAAGACGAACCACUGCGAAAGCAUUUGCCAGGGAUGUUUUCAUCG